rnacentral:tRNA from 1 species
GGAGGUUUGGCAGAGUUUGGCUGAUUGCGCCGGUCUUGAAAACCGGAGGCCCCAGAAAUGGGGUCCAGGGGUUGCCCCUGGCUUCCGAUGUCGCGACUCGGCAAAGUUCAUGCAAGCAUGACUUUGCGCUCACUGCUCCAUCGGUUCAAAUUCCUUAACCUCCU